UCCCUGGGAUUCUCCAGGCAAGAACACUGGAGUGGGUUGCCAUUUCCUUCUCCAAUGCAUGAAAGUGAAGAGUGAAAGUGAAGUCGCUCAGCCGUGUCCGACUCUUAACGACCCCAUGGACUGCAGCCUACCAGGCGUCUCCGUCCAUGGGAUUUUCCAGUGAGAUAUGGGGAAUCUUAGCUCCCUGACCAGGAAUCAACCCCACAUCUCCUGCGUCAGGAGGCAAAGUCUUAACAACUGGACUGUCAAGGAAGCCCCAUGUUUUCCCCUUUUAAAACAUAAGCAUCUGUAUCCCAACCCAAAACAGACACCUUUCUGUGUCAUCUACAGCCCACCAGUCCAGAGCCGGGGGAGCAGAAAGAGUGGAGUGUACUACAAUCACAGAUGUGUGAUUUUUCCUGGUAUACUAAUCUCACUGUUAAUUUUCAUUUAACACAUCAUUCCUCUGAAUGCCUGGGGCACAACACACUGGAAAACUGCAGGCAGGGAACAAGGAGGCGGCACUCACUCGCCCUUGUUUCUCAGGAACCCAGGCUCAUCCAGCAUGGAAUUACAAGUGACCCCAUCAUCUGUGUCUGUGGGGAGGCUUCUGUCAUGCAUGGACCACGCCUCACUGGACACCCUGAGUCUCCUGGGGGGAUUCUGUUGCCUCCAUCAUCCUGGCAUUGGCUGCAGUUCUGGUCCAGACGGCCAGCACAGCUUCCUGGCUGCAGUGAUUACCACCGUAGUACUCGCUCCCUCAGUGAGAGCGGGAGAUCCUUUACUGCGGGCUCCCCUCCUCAGAGGCAGGAGUGUCUGCCAGUCAGUCAGUGUCUUCCGACCACAUCCUUUUCUUAGACCUUUCUGGAGACGGUUCCCCUUAGUCCAUCAUUGAUUUUCUUUAUGAGUGUCUGGAUCUUGGCUUCCUUUGCCGGGAUGGGAAUAUUCUUUUGGGGAAGCACAUUCAGAGAGUUGCUGAUAAUGCGGCCAGCCUCUGCUCAGCUGUCUGUCACUGACACCAGGCCCCACCGCGUCUCGCACACAGAGUUUAGAGAGUAAUGGAGGACGAGGUAUCUUCUUCAGAGGUUUUAGGCUCUCACUGCGUGUUGCAUUCUCUUAUGGACUGGAGCCUCGUCACCCCUCACAGACAGUUCUCAUUUGGCCCCCUUCCAGGAGGUUCUCUGUGAAGCUGAGGCACUGGCUUGCUUGAAGCCAGGUGUUUCUCUCCAGCUUUUACUGACAACAGAUUUGAAUUUGAGAAUCACGUGUUCUUCACCCAGCUUCUCUAUGGAGUUUCACUCUUGGCCUUUUGCCUUCUCCAUCAUCUGAAAAAGAGUUGAGAUAUGCAAAAAGAAAAUUCUUCUGACUUCUGGCUCAAGUUUGUUCUAAAAGUCUCCUUGUGCUUCAUUUCACUCAAAGGUAUUCUCAAACCUGCCAUUCUUAAAAAGGAUGUAUAUUUAGUUCAGACUUAAUAGAAAUGAAAUAAGUCAGAC
ensembl:lncRNA